UAUAUGUAUGCCAGGAGUGUUUGUAUGCCACGAGUGUUGCUUUCUUCCUGGGCCUCAACGUCCCUCUAUUUUUCUCCCUCGUUCUUUGUAGAAUUAGUUUAGGAAUGUAAUAUUUCCAAUCCAAAUACAUGAUUUUAUUUAAUUCGAUUUAAAAACGUUUGUGUAACCUUUUUCAUUCAAUAAAUUUGAUUGAGAAAGUAACACGGUCAUUAUUCUAACUUUAAUACAAACUAUUGCAGCUUGAAGAAGGUUUUUUUUCUAGAGCACAAUACUACGUUCCCAUUCACCCAUGGAUCCUCGGUUGUCAGGCAGUAUUAACGUUUUUUGUAUUGGCCAAUUUUACUUUGGCAACUUUUAUGGACCCUGGCAUUAUACCACAAGCCCCGGCCGACGAAGAUAGAGAUGAUGAUUUCCGAGCGCCUUUAUAUAAAA